rnacentral:rRNA from 1 species
AUUGAACGCUGGCGGCAUGCUUUACACAUGCAAGUCGAACGGUAACAGGCCUUCGGGUGCUGACGAGUGGCGAACGGGUGAGUAAUGCAUCGGAACGUACCCAGAGGUGGGGGAUAACGCAGCGAAAGCUGUGCUAAUACCGCAUGUGAUCUGAGGAUGAAAGCGGGGGACCGAGCAGCAAUGUUUGGCCUCGCGCCUUUGGAGCGGCCGAUGUCGGAUUAGCUAGUUGGUGGGGUAAAGGCCUACCAAGGCGACGAUCCGUAGCUGGUCUGAGAGGACGAUCAGCCACACUGGAACUGAGACACGGCCCAGACUCCUACGGGAGGCAGCAGUGGGGAAUUUUGGACAAUGGGCGCAAGCCUGAUCCAGCAAUGCCGCGUGCGGGAAGAAGGCCUUCGGGUUGUAAACCGCUUUUGGCAGGAACGAAACGGUGUCCGCUAAUACCGGGCGCUAAUGACGGUACCUGCAGAAUAAGCACCGGCUAACUACGUG